rnacentral:misc_RNA from 1 species
UGGUUCCGGCAUNGAUGAAGAACGCAGCGAAAUGCGAUAAGUAAUGUGAAUUGCAGAAUUCAGUGAAUCAUCGAAUCUUUGAACGCACCUUGCGCCCCCUGGCAUUCCGGGGGGCAUGCCUGUCCGAGCGUCAUUUCUGCCCUCAAGCACGGCUUGUGUGUUGGGUGUCGUCCCCCCCCCCAAGGGGGCAGGACGCACCCGAAAGGCAGUGGCGGCGCCGCGUCCGGUCCUCGAGCGUAUGGGCUUUUACCCGCUCAGCGACCGGGCGUGGCCUGGCCUCGUUCUUCCUUCUUUCCAAGGUUGACCUCGGAUCAGGUAGGGAUACCCGCUGA